UGGGGAAUUUUGGACAAUGGGGGAAACCCUGAUCCAGCCAUCCCGCGUGUGCGAUGAAGGCCUUCGGGUUGUAAAGCACUUUUGGCAGGAAAGAAACGUCAUGGGUUAAUACCCCGUGAAACUGACGGUACCUGCAGAAUAAGCACCGGUUAACUACGUGCCAGCAGCCGCGGUAAUACGUAGGGUGCAAGCGUUAAUCGGAAUUACUGGGCGUAAAGCGUGCGCAGGCGGUUCGGAAAGAAAGAUGUGAAAUCCCAGAGCUCAACUUUGGAACUGCAUUUUUAACUACCGGGCUAGAGUGUGUCAGAGGGAGGUGGAAUUCCGCGUGUAGCAGUGAAAUGCGUAGAUAUGCGGAGGAACACCGAUGGCGAAGGCAGCCUCCUGGGAUAACACUGACGCUCAUGCACGAAAGCGUGGGGAGCAAACAGG
rnacentral:rRNA from 1 species